GAUGAACGCUAGCGGUAUGCUUAACACAUGCAAGUCGUACGGGAGUUUUUAACUCAAGUGGCGGACGGGUGAGUAACACGUGAGAAUUUACCUUUAGGAGGGGGAUAACAAUUGGAAACGAUUGCUAAUACCCCAUAUGCUUUUUAAGUGAAACGGAUUUAUUCGCCUAAAGAAAAGCUCGCGGCUGAUUAGCUAGUUGGUAAGGUAAUGGCUUACCAAGGCGACGAUCAGUAUCUGGUUUGAGAGGACGAUCAGCCACACUGGGACUGAGACACGGCCCAGACUCCUACGGGAGGCAGCAGUGGGGAAUCUUAGACAAUGGGGGAAACCCUGAUCUAGCCAUGCCGCGUGAUCGAUGAAGGCCUUAGGGUUGUAAAGAUCUUUCAGCUGGGAAGAUAAUGACUGUACCAGCAGAAGAAGCCCCGGCUAACUCCGUG
rnacentral:rRNA from 1 species